GUUUGCGUGCGUUUGCGUGCUCGUGCGUGCAUGUGCGUGCGCGUGCAUGUGCGUGCGUAGCACUUAGAGACUAGAAUCAACCGCAGGGGUCGGUUGUCUCCUUCUAUGGUGUGGAUCCUGGGGACGGAACUCGGGUCAUGAAACCUGAUAAUCUAGCAAGUUUACCCACUGCACCAUCUCGCCAACCCAGAACUUUUAAAGUAUAAACUAAUCUUAGCGAUCACUAGGGCUUGCAUGGGUAGGCAGGUAGGAUAUGAGCCAGCAGGUACAUCAUGGAUGUGCUUCUAGUUGAAGAUUUAAGGACCAUUUGUUCUCUCCCAGUAUCCUGCCUCCAGCUUUGGAUCCGACAGGCAGCAAAUAAAGCCUCAUGUGAAAGGCGUGGGGGGUGUUGUUUGGGCCAACACCAUUUUGGACCAACCUAAAACCAACCACUUCCUUAAGCACUUGGAAAAGCGAUCGGACAAAGCCACUCCAUAGACACAGAGCUACUCGGUCAACGCAGAGUAAGGUCAACUCUUGAGAUUGACUAGGCUCCCAUAGCCUCCUCAGAGAUACUCGGCUGACUCACAGAGCCGCCAUUACGAGAUGCAUAGCAAGCCACUGAGCUGGAAGGAGAAGAAGAGUUAUCAACUGAUGUAUUUGGAUAUUGCAUAAGUCAAAAUACUGAGCGCGUCUUAAUAAAGUUAUCUGAGCGAUGGCACACUUA